rnacentral:rRNA from 1 species
GCCAGGCCCUACGGGGCGCAGCAGGCGCGAAAACUUUACAAUGCGGGAAACCGUGAUAAGGGGACACCGAGUGCCAGCAUCAUAUGCUGGCUGUCCAGAUGUGUAAAAUACAUCUGUUAGCAAGGGCCGGGCAAGACCGGUGCCAGCCGCCGCGGUAACACCGGCGGCCCGAGUGGUGAUCGUGAUUAUUGGGUCUAAAGGGUCCGUAGCCGGUUUGGUCAGUCCUCCGGGAAAUCUGAUAGCUCAACUAUUAGGCUUUCGGGGGAUACUGCCAGACUUGGAACCGGGAGAGGUAAGAGGUACUACAGGGGUAGGAGUGAAAUCUUGUAAUCCCUGUGGGACCACCUGUGGCGAAGGCGUCUUACCAGAACGGGUUCGACGGUGAGGGACGAAAGCUGGGGGCACGAACCGGAUUAGAUACCCGGGUAGUCCCAGCCGUAAACGAUGCUCGCUAGGUGUCAGGCAUGGCGCGACCGUGUCUGGUGCCGCAGGGAAGCCGUGAAGCGAGCCACCUGGGAAGUACGGCCGCAAGGCUGAAACUUAAAGGAAUUGGCGGGGGAGCACAACAACGGGUGGAGCCUGCGGUUUAAUUGGAUUCAACGCCGGC